rnacentral:snRNA from 1 species
UGAUGUGAGAGUGAUCUGGCUGCAAUAUCUGUCACCCCAUUGAUUCGGCUGAUCUGGCUAGCUAGGCAAGUAUCCCCUUCCUCUCUCAGCGCUCCAUGUGCGUUCCUCCCAAAGCUGUGUGCUUGGUCGAAAAGGGCGAGCUUCCCUGAAUAGAGGAGGAGCAGUCUUCAAGGGUAUAUGAGUAGCUGCACUCCCCAGCUAGAACCUCCAGGCAAGCUCUAGAAGUGAUUGGCCAAACAAGCCCAAAACCUAAAGAACUUGGGAGUGUUUCUAUGGCCCAGACUAGAACCAGCCUUAGUGCAGGUGCAAGUUAGGCACCUACACUUUAA